UACGUAGGGUCCAAGCGUUAUCCGGAAUUACUGGGCGUAAAGAGUUGCGUAGGUGGCAAGUUAAGUCAGUAGUGAAAUGACGGGGCUCAACCCUGUGUCCAUUACUGAAACUGGCUAGCUAGAGAAUGAGAGAGGUCACUGGAAUUCCCUGUGUAGGAGUGAAAUCCGUAGAUAUAGGGAGGAACACCGAUGGCGUAGGCAGGUGACUGGCUCAUUUCUGACACUAAGGCACGAAAGCGUGGGGAGCAAACGGG
rnacentral:rRNA from 1 species